CGGGGUUAUUUCGAGAGAAAAUGAUUGAUGCAUUUCGGAAAGUGUCCCACGGAUGGAGAAAAGCAAACAGAGACUUGUGGGAACAAGCAUUUCCUUUUUACCGGUGCAAUCUGUGCACAGAGGAGAAAGGAGGCAAACCAUACUGGAUGCUGAUUAACUUCUCCGACGGUUAACAGGAUGCCAGUGGCCUGGUGGGUGCCCGGAAAGAGCUCCAGACAGCAAGGAAUCUGGAGAAACAUGUUUCAGAGUUUGCUUCUUACACAUACCCAGCUUUUUAGGAAAGAAGAUUCGUCUGCGGCCAUCUUGCCUACCUUCUGUGAACAGCCUUGGAGGAUAAGAGGCAAGGCAUCUCUCAUUGAUGUGAAUUUCAGUUAAACAGUGGAUAGUUAUUUUAGUUUGUGUCCUGACUGGGGCACAAUGUGAGCUGAUGCCUCCCGUGUCAUUCUCCAGACGAGGACUCUGUUUCCCAUCAGCAAAUCUGCUAACUAGUGUACCUGUCCCAGUUGCUGUGAAGGUCAGCCUCUCGAAUUUUAUCCCAGAGGUGAUGGGGAAUCAUCAUAAGGAAUUAAGUCAUCCGUUCUAAAUCACAUCUGUGCAUAGAAUGACGGUGACCCAGGGAAACGAGAGAAAAUGACGUGGGCCCCCUGAGCCCAGAGCUCCACAAACUAGAGUGUCUUUGGCCAUAAGUUCUGUUUUAUGGCUGUCUAUAAAACUGCCCAUCAAAAAGCUCCCGACAGACGACCCACAGUAAUGAGAGUGUGAGGAAGCCACGCUGAGGGACAUUUCACCUGGCAGGGACACAGGGCACAGGAAGGGCAUUUCCAUAAAACACAGAGUGCCUUCCAUCCUUCCUGCCCUCUUGUCCCUCUGGCCCUGGUCCUCAGACUCUCAGUUUGUGUACAGCGUUGUUCAUCCAUUCAUCGCUUUCAGUGAGUCGUAUCGUGGUGUGUGCAUUCAUCCAAUCAAGCGUCAAUUCAUCUUUUAAAUGAGUCAUAAGAUUUUUAUUGAAUGAAUAACAGCAGCUUGCAUUUGUGGAGUCCUUUCUACAUGGUGGGAUCC
rnacentral:lncRNA from 1 species